AAAACUGCAACGAAAAGUUCUAUGCGGUUUUACCCAAAGCAAGCUGUCCUUUGGAGUCCCAACGCUGUUGAAAAUUUGGCAAUCGGACUUUGCCCUCAUCGUGUGAUCCUAGCGAGUGCAAGUGAAAAAGAGACAACUGCAUGCCUAAAUGUCUUGCAUACAACAAGUGUAAAAGUGUAUGUGCAAAGCAAGCAGACAAUUGGACUCCGCAAACUCAACAAGUGUUAGUGAAACGAGUACGGCAUCGUAGAGCAAAGCAGACUUAAGGGUGAAGAUUUCACAAUUUAACUGCGCAAUAAACUGCAUGCACUCAACAAGUGCCAAACUAUAAGUGGAGGAUUAAGUUUGGCCACCGCAAUGAAAAUUCGUGAAUAAUUAAUUAGUCUUACGCGGACUAUUAAAUCGGAUAAUAAAACUCUUGCAAGUGUGCUUUUUUUUUUAUGUGUUCAACAAGUGCGUGUAUGAAGGUUAAAUCGUUGCUUUUCGCAAAAAUAAAUUUGCGUAAGUGAAAAAGUGUGAGUGAAAUAGCAUGUGCAAAAGUAUGCAAAGCUAGCUGUGCUCUUCAGAUCAACCGCGACUGAAGAUUAGGCAAGCAUUCACCAAGUGUCAAUAUGUGCGUGUGCAAGCAAAGCAAAUGUAAAAUUUGCUGUGCAAUUAAGAAAUAUUUUUUUUCAAGUGCUUAACAAGUGAGUGAGUGUUAAAGUAGAAAAGUGUUAGUGAAAAUGUGAAAAGUGUAAGUGAAAUGUGAUCCUCAUGCAAAAUAGUGCAUUGAAUAGUGCAAUAAAAAAGCCUAUCCAAAAGAAGGCAAAGAAGGCAGAAAAAAUGCUAUGCUAGCACUUUUGCUUCCUUCUUUGCCCUCUUUUUGCUUUGCUUGCCUUAGCUCAAAAAGCUGCUGCUCAAUUUUUUUUUAUGUGUAUGUGUCUAAAGUGAAGAAGUGUUAGAGUAAAAGUGCAAGUUACAUACAUGUGUAUGCAUACAUAUGUAUCUCAUCGCCGCCAGAAAAUUUUCUGCGCAAUAAAGGAAUAUUUUUUUUCAAGUGCCUAAAAGUGUUAGUGAAAUGUGAAAAAGUGCAAUGCGUAAUUAAAGUGUAAGUGAAAAAGCCUAUGCAAGAAAAAGGCAAUGAAGGCAGCAAAAGUGCGGGAGCCAUAGAGCUUAAAAAGCUGCGUAAUUUUUUUUUUUAUGUGCGUGUGUGAAAAGUGAAGUGUUAGUGCAAGUGCUUGUGCAAGUGUGAGUGUGAGUGAAAAAACAACACAAAGCAGCAGCAUCAUUGCAGUUUGGAGCAGCUUGCAGUAAUUUGGAAGUUAUGUCCGGCGGCAGUCAAAACAGUUUUGCAAGCGUUCGUUUUGUGGUGCCUCUGACUCUGACUUUCGGUUGCCAAGAGUACUAACUACUGCCACCAGAAAUCAAAGAUAUUUAUUCUAUAUACAAUACUAAAAGAAAAAGUGUUGCCAAAAAGCUUUCAGCAAUGGGCACUUAGCGUGCUGACAAGUUGAAGCUUUUGCGUGGCCCGUCAGUCAGGUGGCUCAUAAGAAAUAUAAACGGACUUGGACCUCUUGCAAAACAGUCUCGGUUUUUUGCAAUCUUCAAAGUCGAGGCAUAACUUCCUUAACUGCCGCUGCUAGAGAGAGUUGCUUCAAUAUUAUGCAACUCUUGAUGACAUUGGAAUUUGUGCCACAAUCGUAAGGACUACGUGACUGCCGCCAACGUAACCUGUAAAAGAGCUUAUCAGAGAGG